rnacentral:rRNA from 1 species
CCCUUAGAUAUCCUAGGCUGCACGCGAGCUACAAUGGUAUAUAUAAAAGGUUGCUGCUCUGAGAAGACUGGCAAUACCCUGAUAUAUAUCGUAUUUGGAAUAGAUUUUUGUAAUUUCAAUCUUGAACGAGGAAUUCCUAGUAAAAAUAUUUCAUCAUAAUGUUUUGAUUGUGUCCCUGCCCUUUGUACGCACCGCCCGUCGCUCCUACCGAUUGAAUAUUCCGGUGAGAAGAUAGGAGAAAAAUCUUUUGAUUUUUUGAAUAUUUUUGAACCUUGAUAUUUAGNGGAAGGAGAANUCGUANCA